GAUGAACGCUGGCGGCGUGCCUAAUACAUGCAAGUCGAGCGAACAGACGAGGAGCUUGCUCCUCUGACGUUAGCGGCGGACGGGUGAGUAACAUGUGGAUAACCUACCUAUAAGACUGGGAUAACUUCGGGAAACCGGAGCUAAUACCGGAUAAUAUAUUGAACCGCAUGGUUCAAUAGUGAAAGACGGUUUUGCUGUCACUUAUAGAUGGAUCCGCGCCGCAUUAGCUAGUUGGUAAAGUAACGGCUUACCAAGGCGACGAUGCGUAGCCGACCUGAGAGGGUGAUCGGCCACACUGGAACUGAGACACGGUCCAGACUCCUACGGGAGGCAGCAGUAGGGAAUCUUCCGCAAUGGGCGAAAGCCUGACGGAGCAACGCCGCGUGAGUGAUGAAGGUCUUCGGAUCGUAAAACUCUGUUAUUAGGGAAGAACAAAUGUGUAAGUAACUAUGCACGUCUUGACGGUACCUAAUCAGAAAGCCACGGCUAACUACGUG
rnacentral:rRNA from 1 species